CGCCCCACGACUCUGGAAUAAACCCCGGGAAACCCGGGAAGGCUAAUACCGGAUACGAGACGGAGCCGCAUGGCUACCGUCUGGAAAGUUUUUCGGUCUGGGAUGGACUCGCGGCCUAUCAGCUUGUUGGUGAGGUAGUGGCUCACCAAGGCGACGACGGGUAGCCGGCCUGAGAGGGCGAUCGGCCACACUGGGACUGAGACACGGCCCAG
rnacentral:rRNA from 1 species